rnacentral:rRNA from 1 species
GACGAACGCUGGCGGCGUGCCUAACACAUGCAAGUCGAGCGGAGAAACAAAAGAGCAGCUUGCUGCGAUUUGUUUCUUAGCGGCGGACGGGUGAGUAACGCGUGGGUAAUCUGCCUCAAACAGGGGGAUAACACAGGGAAACUUGUGCUAAUACCGCAUAAGACCCCACCAUGGCAUCAUGGAGAGGUCAAAGGAAGAAAUUCCGGUUUGAGAUGAGCCCGCGUCUGAUUAGCUAGUUGGUGAGGUAACGGCUCACCAAGGCGACGAUCAGUAGCCGAACUGAGAGGUUGAUCGGCCACAUUGGGACUGAGACACGGCCCAGACUCCUACGGGAGGCAGCAGUGGGGAAUAUUGCACAAUGGGGGAAACCCUGAUGCAGCGACGCCGCGUGAAGGAAGAAGGCCCUCGGGUUGUAAACUUCUUUGACCAGGGACGAAGAAAGUGACGGUACCUGGAGAACAAGCCACGGCUAACUACGUGCCAGCAGCCGCGGUAAAACCACGACCG